ACUCAAAUGAAUAGACGGGGGCCCGCACAAGCGGUGGAGCAUGUGGUUUAAUUCGACGCAACGCGCAGAACCUUACCAGGGUUUGACAUCCCACGCUAAGCCCGGAAACGGGCCGUCCCCGCAAGGGGCGUGGAGACAGGUGCUGCAUGGCUGUCGUCAGCUCGUGUCGUGAGAUGUUGGGUUAAGUCCCGCAACGAGCGCAACCCUCGCCUUUAGUUGCCAUCAUUAAGUUGGGCACUCUAGAGGGACCGCCGGCGACAAGCCGGAGGAAGGUGGGGAUGACGUCAAGUCCUCAUGGCCCUUACAUCCUGGGCUACACACGUGCUACAAUGGCGGUAACAGUGCGCAGCCAACUCGCGAGAGUGAGCUAAUCGCAAAAAGCCGCCCCAGUUCAGAUUGCACUCUGCAACUCGAGUGCAUGAAGGUGGAAUCGCUAGUAAUCGCAGAACAGCAGGCUGCGGUGAAUACGUUCCCGGGCCUUGUACACACCGCCCGU
rnacentral:rRNA from 1 species